AUCGAACGCUGGCGGCAGGCCUAACACAUGCAAGUCGAACGAGUGGCGGACGGGUGAGUAAUGUCUGGGAAACUGCCCGAUGGAGGGGGAUAACUACUGGAAACGGUAGCUAAUACCGCAUACCAUCGGAUGUGCCCAGAUGGGAUUAGCUUGUUGGUGGGGUAACGACUCACCAAGGCGACGAUCCCUAGCUGGUCUGAGAGGCUGACCAGCGACACUGGAACUGGGACACGGUCCAGACGACUACGGGAGGCAGCAGUGGGGAAGAUUGCACAUUGGGCGCAAGCCUGGUGCAGCCAUGCCGCGUGUAUGAAGAAGGCCUUGCGGUUGGAAAGUACUGUCAGCGGGGAGGCGUUACCCGCAGAAGAAGCACCGGCUAACUCCGUGCCAGCAGCCGCGGUAAUUC
rnacentral:rRNA from 1 species